AACGCUAGCUACAGGCUUAACACAUGCAAGUCGAGGGGAAACGAUAUUGGAAGCUUGCUUCCGAUAGGCGUCGACCGGCGCACGGGUGAGUAACGCGUAUCCAACCUGCCCAUCACUUGGGGAUAACCUUGCGAAAGUAAGACUAAUACCCAAUGACGUCUCUAGAAGACAUCUGAAGGAGAUUAAAGAUUUAUCGGUGAUGGAUGGGGAUGCGUCUGAUUAGCUUGUUGGCGGGGUAACGGCCCACCAAGGCGACGAUCAGUAGGGGUUCUGAGAGGUAGGUCCCCCACAUUGGAACUGAGACACGGUCCAAACUCCUACGGGAGGCAGCAGUGAGGAAUAUUGGUCAAUGGGCGAGAGCCUGAACCAGCCAAGUAGCGUGCAGGAUGACGGCCCUAUGGGUUGUAAACUGCUUUUAUAAGGGAAUAAAGUGAGUCUCGUGAGACUUUUUGCAUGUACCUUAUGAAUAAGGACCGGCUAAUUCCGUGCCAGCAGCCGCGGUAAUACGGAAGGUCCGGGCGUUAUCCGGAUUUAUUGGGUUUAAAGGGAGCGUAGGCCGGAGAUUAAGCGUGUUGUGAAAUGUAGACGCUCAACGUCUGCACUGCAGCGCGAACUGGUUUCCUUGAGUACGCACAAAGUGGGCGGAAUUCGUGGUGUAGCGGUGAAAUGCUUAGAUAUCACGAAGAACUCCGAUUG
rnacentral:rRNA from 1 species